rnacentral:rRNA from 1 species
GUCGGCUACGAGGACGACGCUGGCGGCGUGCUUAACACAUGCAAGUCGAGCGAUGAACCCGGAGCUUGCUCCGGUGGAUUAGUGGCGAACGGGUGAGUAACACGUGAGUAACCUGCCCUUGACUCUGGGAUAACUGCGGGAAACUGUAGCUAAUACCGGAUACGACCCUCGGCGGCAUCGCCAGGGGUGGAAAGAAUUUCGGUCAAGGAUGGACUCGCGGCCUAUCAGCUAGUUGGUGAGGUAAUGGCUCACCAAGGCGACGACGGGUAGCCGGCCUGAGAGGGUGACCGGCCACACUGGGACUGAGAUACGGGCCAGACUCCUACGGGAGGCAGCAGUAGGGAAUAUUGGGCAAUGGUCGGAAGACUGACCCAGCCAUGCCGCGUGCAGGAAGACGGCCCUCUGGGUUGUAAACUGCUUUUAUCUGGGAAGAAAAAGGCCAUGCGUGGCAAAUUGCCGGUACCAGAUGAAUAAGCACCGGCUAACUCCGUG